rnacentral:rRNA from 1 species
UACGUAGGGGCAAGCGUUGUCCGGAUUCAUUGGGCGUAAAGAGCGUGUAGGCGGCCAGGUAGGUCGGUUGUGAAACUGGAGGCUCAACCUUCAGAGGUCGACCGAAACCAUCUGGCUAGAGUCCGGGAGAGGAGAGUGGAAGUUCCUGGUGUAGCGGUGAAAUGCGCAGAUAUACAGGAAGAACACCCGUGGCGAAAGCGGCUCUCUGGAACGGUACUGACGCUGAGACGCGAAAGCGUGGGGAGCGAACAGG